AGAGCUAUUCUAGAAAAAGCUAAGAAAGUGUAGUUAUUGUCGUUUGCAAACAUAGGGUUAACGCUUGAUGCACACACUAUUUACCCUGACCAGUGAAAUAUGGAAAUAUGUAGGUUUUCUCGUCAUUAUUAUCUAUGUAAGAUUCUAGAAAUACUUAAAUGAAAUGUACAUGGAUUAUUGCUAUGUAAAUUAAUUAUUUAUUUGUUUCUUUUCUUUUUAUUAAGCUGAAAUACUAUAUAGUGUAAUACUUCCAACGAAACGUCGUUUUCGCAAUGUUCGAUAUACACGUUACUUUCCUAUAGCUCUUGAAUCCUUCAAGCCGUGCUAAUUAUGUUAUGCUAUUCAUGUUUGUGUAUCCUUGCGACAACGAUGCUAUGGUUAGUUGUGUUAGUUUGCUAUACUGAUAAGCAACGAUACUGAGCAUAAAAAUGAGAGUAUUCCUAUUAGAUUCAAUGCAAAUUCCAUUUUCAUAUAUUUGCUUCGUAAAUUUUAUUUAAAAAAUUUCAUGUUUUUAAUGACCUUUAAGUGUAAACGGAUAUUCAUGGAAAGCUUUAACAGCCAAACUAGUACUCGGUAAAAACUCCACAGCGUCACAAACCUUGUGUUUACGUUACUAUAACAAAGUAAAGUCAAAUCAAUUCAGUCGGAAUUUCAAUGAUUUGCUCCAGGAACGGUAAUUGUCUCAUAGUAUGCCUUCAGCAAUAAAGUUCCGCCUUAGUUUAUUGCGUUUCAUACAUUACUUUUGCCUAGGUGACAGAAGCUA